AAGGGGAAUCCGACUGUUUA
rnacentral:snRNA from 1 species